UACGGGGGGGCAAGCGUUGUUCGGAAUUACUGGGCGUAAAGGGCGCGUAGGCGGCCUUCUAAGUCGGACGUGAAAUCCCUCGGCUUAACCGAGGAACUGCGUCCGAUACUGAAAGGCUUGAAUCCGGGAGAGGGAUGUGGAAUUCCAGGUGUAGCGGUGAAAUGCGCAGAUAUCAGGAGGAACACCUAUUGCGAAGGCAGCUCGCUGGGACGUAACUGACGCUGAGACGCGAAAGCGUGGGGAGCAAACAGG
rnacentral:rRNA from 1 species